UACGUAGGGCGCAAGCGUUGUCCGGAAUUAUUGGGCGUAAAGAGCUCGUAGGCGGUUUGUCGCGUCUGCUGUGAAAACCUAAGGCUCAACCUUGGGCUUGCAGUGGGUACGGGCAGACUAGAGUGCGGUAGGGGGUGACUGGAAUUCCUGGUGUAGCGGUGGAAGUGCGCAGAUAUCAGGAGGAACACCGAGUGGCGAAGGCAGGUCACUGGGCCGCAACUGACGC
rnacentral:rRNA from 1 species